AUCAACCUAACAUGUCCUCACUUAUAUUAUGAGUUGUGAAUCCUUCUUGUCUCGUUUAUGCCACGAAAGUGCGGAUAAAGUGACGCGGACUUUGGACUUUGGUUGGUGCUAUUCAAGAAAACCUGAAGUAUCAAAUCUCUCUCUAGUUUUACAGGCCAUGAAAACUACAGAAAAGAAAAACGCUAGAUCGGGUCCAUGUAUUUGAAACCAACUCGGAAAAUCUAAGCAAAUAAAAGCCAUAUUUUUGAAGUUUAAUUUUUUUCAAUUAAUUGAUUAGCGACAUAGUCUUGUAAUAAACUUUUUCAACAAAAAAAAAUGAUCAUCCUUGAGCAUCAUUUUGUGUGUGCAUAAAACGGAACAAAUCACGUAUUUCUUACAGGAACAAUUUAACCCUCGUUGCCUUAGAGAACAAAAAGAAAAAAAAACGUGACGUGGUUUCAACAGGGACUAAACUUUAACUAGUCAAUCUUUCAGAACUUAUUACACAGAGGUUAUACAAUCGCAAGCUGCCGCCGACGAUGAUCCACCGCCAAGUGUGAAUGGGAACGCUGCGAUUAGGGAGGAUUUGAAAAGCCAACUGUUGGCGCGCCCCCCCAAAAAAAAGAAAACGAGAAAGGAAAAGAAAAGCGAGAGCAGUAUCCAAGCUAGGCUAUAGGCUCUGUGCGUCGGUCGGUGAUGGUGAUUUCUCUUUGCCGAAUUUAAUCCCGAUAAAUAAAUUUCG
rnacentral:lncRNA from 1 species